rnacentral:tRNA from 1 species
GCCCGAGUGGUGAAAUUGGUAGACACGACGGAUUCAAAAUCCGUUUCCUUCGGGAGUGGCGGUUCAAGUCCGCCCUCGGGCACCA